rnacentral:rRNA from 1 species
UGGCGAACGGGUGAGUAACACGUGGGCAACCUGCCCAAAAGGGGGGGAUAACACUUGGAAACAGGUGCUAAUACCGCAUAACCAUAGUUACCGCAUGGUAGCUAUGUAAAAGGUGGCUAUGCUACCGCUUUUGGAUGGGCCCGCGGCGCAUUAGCUAGUUGGUGGGGUAAAGGCUUACCAAGGCAAUGAUGCGUAGCCGAACUGAGAGGUUGAUCGGCCACAUUGGGACUGAGACACGGCCCAAACUCCUACGGAAGGCAGCAG